CCGCCGAGGACCGGGCCGAUCUGCUGCGGCGGCUCCUGGUGGCGGACGGCACGGGCGGCGACGACCGGUUCCUGGC
rnacentral:tRNA from 1 species